CCUACGGGAGGCAGCAGUGAGGAAUAUUGGUCAAUGGGAGGAAUCCUGAACCAGCCAUGCCGCGUGCAGGACGACGGCUCUACGAGUUGUAAACUGCUUUUGUACCGGGGUAAAAUGCUCUACGAGUAGGGUUUUGAAAGUACGGUACGAAUAAGGAUCGUCUAACUCCGUGCCAGCAGCCGCGGUAAUACGGAGGAUCCGAGCGUUAUCCGGAUUUAUUGGGUUUAAAGGUUGCGUAGGUUGUUUUAUACGUUAGCGGUGAAAUACCGAUGCUCAACAUCGGGGCUGCCGCUAAUACUGUAGGACUAGAGAUCGGAUGCAGCAGGCGGAAUGUGUAGUGUAGCGGUGAAAUGCAUAGAUAUGACACAGAACACCGAUUGCGAAGGCAGCUUGCUAGGCCGGAUCUGACACUGAUGCACGAAAGCGUGGGGAUCGAACAGGAUUAGAUACCCCUGUAGUC
rnacentral:rRNA from 1 species